rnacentral:rRNA from 1 species
UACAGAGGUCUCAAGCGUUGUUCGGAUUCAUUGGGCGGUAAAGGGCGCGUAGGCUGCAAGGUAAAGUCGGGUGUGAAAUCUCAGGGCUCAACCCUGAAACUGCACUCGAUACUGCUCUGCUUGAGGACUGGAGAGGAGACUGGAAUUCACGGUGUAGCAGUGAAAUGCGUAGAUAUCGUGAGGAAGACCAGUGGCGAAGGCGGGUCUCUGGACAGUUCCUGACGCUGAGGCGCGAAGGCCAGGGGAGCAAACGGG